rnacentral:rRNA from 1 species
UACGUAGGGUGCGAGCGUUGUCCGGAAUUAUUGGGCGUAAAGGGCUCGUAGGCGGUUUGUCGCGUCGGGAGUGAAAUCAUCUGGCUUAACUGGGUGCUUGCUUUCGAUACGGGCAGACUAGAGGUAUGCAGGGGAGAACGGAAUUCCUGGUGUAGCGGUGAAAUGCGCAGAUAUCAGGAGGAACACCGGUGGCGAAGGCGGGAUCCUGGGCCAGUACUGACGCUGAGGAGCGAAAGCGUGGGGAGCAAACAGG